rnacentral:rRNA from 1 species
CAGUAGCCGCGGUAAUACAGAGGGGGCUAGCGUUGUUCGGAAUUACUGGGCGUAAAGGGUGCGUAGGCGGUUUGGCAAGUCUUAUGUGAAAUCUUCGGGCUCAACCCGAAGUCUGCAUGAGAAACUGCCGGGCUUGAGUAUGGGAGAGGUGAGUGGAAUUUCCGGUGUAGCGGUGAAAUGCGUAGGUAUUGGGAAGAACACCAGUGGCGAAGGCGGCUCACUGGACCGACACUGACGCUGAGGCGCGAAAGCGUGGGGAGCAAACAGGAUUAGAUACCCGCGUAGUCCCUGUCUCUUAUAC